GACGAACGCUGGCGGCGUGCUUAACACAUGCAAGUCGAACGGAAAGGCCCUGCUUUUGUGGGGUGCUCGAGUGGCGAACGGGUGAGUAACACGUGAGUAGCCUGCCCUUGACUUUGGGAUAACUUCAGGAAACUGGGGCUAAUACCGGAUAGGAGCUCCUGCUGCAUGGUGGGGGUUGGAAAGUUUCGGCGGUUGGGGAUGGACUCGCGGCUUAUCAGCUUGUUGGUGGGGUAGUGGCUUACCAAGGCUUUGACGGGUAGCCGGCCUGAGAGGGUGACCGGCCACAUUGGGACUGAGAUACGGCCCAGACUCCUACGGGAGGCAGCAGUGGGGAAUAUUGCACAAUGGGCGGAAGCCUGAUGCAGCAACGCCGCGUGCGGGAUGACGGCCUUCGGGUUGUAAACCGCUUUCGCCUGUGACGAAGCGUGUGUGACGGUAAUGGGUAAAGAAGCACCGGCUAACUACGUG
rnacentral:rRNA from 1 species